GGCUCAGGAUGAACGCUAGCUACAGGCUUAACACAUGCAAGUCGAGGGGCAGCAUGCUGAUAGCUUGCUAUCAGUGAUGGCGACCGGCGCACGGGUGAGUAACGCGUAUCCAACCUGCCUGUCACUCAGGAAUAGCCCGGUGAAAAACCGGAUUAAGUCCUGAUGAUAUCAUUAGAGGGCAUCUGACGAUGAUUAAAGGUUACGGUGACGGAUGGGGAUGCGUCUGAUUAGCUUGUUGGCGGGUAACGGCCCACCAAGGCAACGAUCAGUAGGGGUUCUGAGAGGAAGGUCCCCCACAUUGGAACUGAGACACGGUCCAAACUCCUACGGGAGGCAGCAGUGAGGAAUAUUGGUCAAUGGGCGGAAGCCUGAACCAGCCAAGUAGCGUGAGGGAUGACUGCCCUAUGGGUUGUAAACCUCUUUUAUAAGGGAAUAAAAUACGGGACGUGUCCUGUUUUGCAUGUACCUUAUGAAUAAGGACCGGCUAAUUCCGUG
rnacentral:rRNA from 1 species